rnacentral:rRNA from 1 species
CCUGGCGGGGUGCCUAUACAUGCAAGUCGAACGCUUCUUUUUCCACCGGAGCUUGCUCCACCGGAAAAAGAGGAGUGGCGAACGGGUGAGUAACACGUGGGUAACCUGCCCAUCAGAAGGGGAUAACACUUGGAAACAGGUGCUAAUACCGUAUAACAAUCAAAACCGCAGGUUUUGAUUUGAAAGGCGCUUUCGGGUGUCGCUGAUGGAUGGACCCGCGGUGCAUUAGCUAGUUGGUGAGGUAACGGCUCACCAAGGCCACGAUGCAUAGCCGACCUGAGAGGGUGAUCGGCCACAUUGGGACUGAGACACGGCCCAAACUCCUACGGGAGGCAGCAGUAGGGAAUCUUCGGCAAUGGACGAAAGUCUGACCGAGCAACGCCGCGUGAGUGAAGAAGGUUUUCGGAUCGUAAAACUCUGUUGUUAGAGAAGAACAAGGAUGAGAGUAACUGUUCAUCCCUUGACGGUAUCUAACCAGAAAGCCACGGCUAACUACGUGCCAGCAGCCGCGGUAAUACGUAGGUGGCAAGCGUUGUCCGGAUUUAUUGGGCGUAAAGCGAGCGCAGGCGGUUUCUUAAGUCUGAUGUGAAAGCCCCCGGCUCAACCGGGGAGGGUCAUUGGAAACUGGGAGACUUGAGUGCAGAAGAGGAGAGUGGAAUUCCAUGUGUAGCGGUGAAAUGCGUAGAUAUAUGGAGGAACACCAGUGGCGAAAGCGGCUCUCUGGUCUGUAACUGACGCUGAGGCUCGAAAGCGUGGGGAGCAAACAGGAUUAGAUACCCUGGUAGUCCACGCCGUAAACGAUGAGUGCUAAGUGUUGGGGAGGGUUUCCGCCCUUCAGUGCUGCAGCUAACGCAUUAAGCACUCCGCCUGGGGAGUACGACCGCAAGGUUGAAACUCAAAGGAAUUGACGGGGGCCCGCACAAGCGGUGGAGCAUGUGGUUUAAUUGGAAGCAACGGGAAGACCCUUACCAGGUCUUGACUUCCUUUGACCACUCUAGAGAUAGAGCUUCCCCUUCGGGGGCAAAGUGACAGGUGGUGCAUGGUGGUGGUCAGCUCGUGUCGUGAGAUGUUGGGUUAAGUCCCGCAACGAGCGCAACCCUUAUUGUUAGUUGCCAUCAUUCAGUUGGGCACUCAAGCAAGACGGCCGGUGACAAACCGGAGGAAGGUGGGGAGGACGUCAAAUCAUCAUGCCCCUUAUGCCCUGGGCUACACACGUGUUACAAUGGGAAGUACAAGGAGUCGGGAAGUCGCGAGGUUAAGUUAAUUUCUUAAAGCU